GAUGAACGCUGGCGGCGUGCCUAAUACAUGCAAGUCGAGCGAACAGACGAGGAGCUUGCUCCGCUGACGUUAGCGGCGGACGGGUGAGUAACACGUGGAUAACCUACCUAUAAGACUGGGAUAACUUCGGGAAACCGGAGCUAAUACCGGAUAAUAUAUUGAACCGCAUGGUUCAAUAGUGAAAGACGGUUUUGCUGUCACUUAUAGAUGGAUCCGCGCCGCAUUAGCUAGUUGGUAAGGUAACGGCUUACCAAGGCAACGAUGCGUAGCCGACCUGAGAGGGUGAUCGGCCACACUGGAACUGAGACACGGUCCAGACUCCUACGGGAGGCAGCAGUAGGGAAUCUUCCGCAAUGGGCGAAAGCUUGACGGAGCAACGCCGCGUGAGUGAUGAAGGUCUUCGGAUCGUAAAACUCUGUUAUUAGGGAAGAACAAAUGUGUAAGUAACUAUGCACGUCUUGACGGUACCUAAUCAGAAAGCCACGGCUAACUACGUG
rnacentral:rRNA from 1 species